AUCGCUUCUCGGCCUUUUGGCUAAGAUCAAGUGUAGAAAUAGCUUGUUAUGACAAUUGUAUUUCUGAUGCCAUGAAAUGUGUUUAGAAUGGAUCCUGUGUUCAACAAAUAAUAUCCUUUGUGAUCAGGAAUGAUGCUAGCUAUUCAAGUUAUUUGCCCUUACAAUUGCUUCCUGAGUUACAUAUCCAGAU